GUCAGUCAGGGGCGGGCAGGGGCUGGCGGGCCGUUCGAACGGCGCUGCCGCUGCUGGCGGGGCUUGGGGCGGGCACGGGGUCCCGUGUUCUGUCCUGUGUCCCCGCGUGUCCCCGGGCAGCUCUGGCGGAGCAGCUCCCGCCCGGCCCCCCUCCUCUCCAAAGGGCCCGGGGCAGGCAGGGCCCCCUCCCGGCCCGCUCCCAGCCGGGGCAGGCCAGGCCGCUCCGCUGCUGUUCCGGGAGGGAUGGCGGGCGAGACCGCGCUGAGGGAAAGGCCUGGCACGUGCCAGCGGCGGAGCAGACGGAACUGAGAAAACUUACAGCAACAUCUCAUAACUGGAAGUCAGAGGCACAAAGCUGCUUCUGAGCAUAAGCAGCUGAGAUCUUGCUUGAUAUCCAGAAGUAUUUCAGAAAGUGAACUCCAGCUCUUUGCUGCUGCCAUUGCUCAGUUAACAGUGAUGAUUAAAUCCCAUAAAUAUUCUCUUGUCCUUGGCAGGAGAAACCUUGCAGCUUUCUUUAGAGUGUCCCUUUGGACUUUGAAGCUAUGCAUUGAUGUUGGAAGGAGGCAGGUGGCAGGCUUUCAGUUGUUUAGCUGCCUGUGAUGUUCUAAAUACAACUUAUAUGAAGGUGGAGGAACAAACUGAAAGAGCCAAGAAUGGUGAAUUACAUGGCUUUGGUUUGGAAUUGAUUAAAACUUGAUGUUAAUCCUUGCUGCUGUGAAAUAGAGGAAGUCAAGAAACUUUUACAAGUAACCCCAAAUCUAUAGAAAUGGAUUCUGCUAGUGUAGUAUUGUCACCAAAUCAUCAUCACAGAUAUCAGUUGUGUGAUGUGAUCAUGGAGUUCCUGAAUGUUGGAUGGAUGGAGCUGCUGUGAGAACUGGUGGGAGCAGAUCUUUGGGCAGCAGAGACAGGGAAUCCACUUUUUAAUAUAAUGACCUUCAAAAUCAGACCUCUGUGUUAUCUCAUGUUUUUGGCUGACUUCCUGUGGCCAUGUGCAUAAAUCAGGUCAGUUUGCUCACUUGAUGUGCAUAGACAAGUAUGAGGAUUAUGAAAUGAGAGCAAUAACACAGCAGUGUGUAUUACAGUGGGAGGAAUAAAGGGAAGCAUAGAGGAAAGUGGUGCCCUUUUGUGGAAAUAUUUAUGAAAAAAUUGAUUACUGGAAAAUAAAAUGGGUGAUUGGUACCUGUGGAAUAUCUUGGGAAUAAACAGAUUAAUAAAAUCAGUAAGAUGAGACCAGGAAGGUGUGUUUUGUUGCUUGCUGGAGUAAUGAGAAACACUUUUGUAUUUGUGAAAAGGGCAUGUUCUGGAUCCUGGAGAUCAUAUUGUACUGAAGUUUUGGGGAGUACAUCAGCUGGUAGUUCAA